rnacentral:rRNA from 1 species
GAUGAACGCUGGCGGCGUGCCUAAUACAUGCAAGUCGAGCGAACGGACGAGAAGCUUGCUUUUCUGAUGUUAGCGGCGGACGGGUGAGUAACACGUGGAUAACCUACCUAUAAGACUGGGAUAACUUCGGGAAACCGGAGCUAAUACCGGAUAAUAUUUUGAACCGCAUGGUUCAAAAGUGAAAGACGGUCUUGCUGUCACUUAUAGAUGGAUCCGCGCUGCAUUAGCUAGUUGGUAAGGUAACGGCUUACCAAGGCAACGAUGCAUAGCCGACCUGAGAGGAUGAUCGGCCACACUGGAACUGAGACACGGUCCAGACUCCUACGGGAGGCAGCAGUGGGGAAUCUUCGACAAUGGGCGAAAGCCUGACGCAGCAAUGCCGCGUGAGUGAUGAAGGUCUUCGGAUCGUAAAGCUCUGUUGUUAGGGAAGAACAGAUGUGGAAGUAAAUGUGGACAUCUUGACGGUACCUAAUGAGAAAGCCACGGCUAACUACGUG